rnacentral:rRNA from 1 species
ACGAACGCUGGCGGCGUGCUUAACACAUGCAAGUCGAACGGUGAAGCUCCAGCUUGCUGGAGUGGAUCAGUGGCGAACGGGUGAGUAACACGUGAGCAACCUGCCCCAGACUCUGGAAUAAGCGCUGGAAACGGCGUCUAAUACUGGAUACGAGAUCAAGCCGCAUGGUUAUGGUCUGGAAAGUUUUCCGGGUUGGGAUGGGCUGGCGGCCUAUCAGCUUGUUGGUGAGGUAAUGGCUCACCAAGGCGACGACGGGUAGGCGGCCUGAGAGGGCGACCGGCCACACUGGGACUGAGACACGGCCCAGACUCCUACGGGAGGCAGCAGUGGGGAAUAUUGCACAGUGGGCGAAAGCCUGAUGCAGCGACGCCGCGUGAGGGAUGACGGCCUUCGGGUUGUAAACCUCUUUCAGCAGGGAAGAAGCGAAAGUGACGGUACCUGCAGAAGAAGCACCGGCUAACUACGUG